rnacentral:rRNA from 1 species
UACGUAGGGGGCUAGCGUUGUCCGGAUUUAUUGGGCGUAAAGAGCGUGUAGGCGGCCAGGUAGGUCUGCUGUGAAAACUCGAGGCUCAACCUCGAGACGUCGGCGGAAACCAUCUGGCUAGAGUCCGGAAGAGGAGAGUGGAAUUCCUGGUGUAGCGGUGAAAUGCGCAGAUAUCAGGAAGAACACCCGUGGCGAAGGCGGCUCUCUGGGACGGUACUGACGCUGAGACGCGAAA